UACGUAGGGCGCAAGCGUUGUCCGGAAUUAUUGGGCGUAAAGAGCUCGUAGGCGGCUUGUCACGUCGAUUGUGAAAGCCCGAGGCUUAACCUCGGGUCUGCAGUCGAUACGGGCUAGCUAGAGUGUGGUAGGGGAGAUCGGAAUUCCUGGUGUAGCGGUGAAAUGCGCAGAUAUCAGGAGGAACCCCGGUGGCGAAGGCGGGUCUCUGGGCCGAUACUGACGCUGAGGAGCGAAAGCGUGGGGAGCGAACAGG
rnacentral:rRNA from 1 species